rnacentral:rRNA from 1 species
GACGAACGCUGGCGGCGUGCUUAACACAUGCCAGUCGAACGAAAAUACCAAGCUUGCUUGGUUGAUUAGUGGCGAACGGGUGAGUAACACGUGAGUAACCUGCCCCUUACUUUCCUGGAUAACUGCUCGAAAGGGUAGCUAAUACGGGAUAUUCUGACCAGCCUGCAUGGGUUGGUUUGGAAAGGUUGUUUUUCUGGUAAGGGAUGGGCUCGCGGCCUAUCAGCUUGUUGGUGGGGUGAUGGCCUACCAAGGCUUUGACGGGUAGCCGGCCUGAGAGGGUGGACGGUCACACUGGGACUGAGAUACGGCCCAGACUCCUACGGGAGGCAGCAGUGGGGAAUAUUGCACAAUGGGCGCAAGCCUGAUGCAGCGACGCCGCGUGAGGGAUGAAGGCCUUCGGGUUGUAAACCUCUUUCGUCAGGGAACAAGGCACUGCUUUUUUGGUGGUGUUGAGGGUACCUGGAUAAGAAGCGCCGGCUAACUACGUG